rnacentral:rRNA from 1 species
UAGGGAAUAUUGCACAAUGAGCGAAAGCUUGAUGCAGCAACGCCGCGUGCGCGAUGACGGCCUUCGGGUUGUAAAGCGCUUUUCGGGGAGAUGAGGAAGGACAGUAUCCCCGGAAUAAGUCUCGGCUAACUACGUGCCAGCAGCCGCGGUAACACGUAGGAGGCAAGCGUUAUCCGAAUUUACUGGGCGUAAAGCGCGUGCAGGCGGUUCGGUAAGUUGGAUGUGAAAUCUCCCGGCUCAACUGGGAGAGGACGUUCAAUGCUGUCGGACUUGAGGACGAUAGAGGGAGGUGGAAUUCCCGGUGUAGUGGUGAAAUGCGUAGAUAUCGGGAGGAACACCAGUAGCGAAAGCGGCCUCCUGGAUCGUUCCUGACGCUCAGACGCGAAAGCUAGGGGAGCGAACGGG